rnacentral:rRNA from 1 species
GUGAGCAAGGGAAAUCGGCAAAAUGGAUGAAAAACCUCGGGAUAAUCAUUGGCUCUAGCAUGCUAGAACUGGGCUUACAAGGGGAAUCUGACUGUUUAAUAAAAACAUAGCUUUGUGUGUACGCAAAGUGAAUUCUGCCCAGUGCUUGGGACGUUAAGGAAGUAAUUUUAAGUACGCACCUGUAAACGGCGGGAGUAACUAUGACUCUCUUAAGGUAGCCAAAUGCCUCGUCGCCUAAUUAGCGACCCGCAUGAAUGGAGCAACGAGAUUCCCACUGUCCCUGCUCACAGAUUUGCGAACUACAGCCAAGGGAACGGGCUUGGGAAUGCAUCGGGGAAAAAAAACCUGUUGAACUGACUCUAGC